rnacentral:rRNA from 1 species
CUCAUCCUCCUACUAGUCUCUCCUACGCUUAUCUGCUAAAGAAAGAUAUCUAGAUGACGCAGAUGAGUAGUAAAUUAAACUACAACGGUAAUGUACUGGUACGAAGUAUUGGAACGAUGCAGAACACUACGAAGUCUACCUUGACCCUUCAGUAACUGAAUUUAAAAUGGCAUAACACUGUAGAAUAAUUGUGAUAAUCUCAUAUCAAUGAGCUACGUAAACAAUUGAUAUACUCACUAAAAGUAAUCUACACGCACUAAUCUACAAUUACAAAAAAGUGAACACUCUAACAAUCCGAUGAUUCAAUACGGAACCAAAUUAAUAAUAGAGUACUACAAUUGCACAUACCGAACGUACUAAUAAUAGAGUAUUAGACUAUUCGAAUACCACGAUGUACUAAUAAUAAUAGUAAAACAAUUGGACACACCCAAAUACCAAAACAUGAGUAAUGAACCAAUUAACAUAUAUAUAGUGAAUAUUCCCUCCACGAAAGUUUAAAAUUAUUAUUUUAUAAACAAUUAGUAAUGUAUCUAAUAGAUACUCACUCCACCAAAGUUUUACAAAGAUGAUAUUACAAUAUCAAUUAAAAAUCUACUACUUGGCAAUCAUAAUUUUCAACAAACGUAGCAUCGUUCAGCAUAAUUUUACUUAUAUUACUAAUAAAACAAAACAAGCAUUCAUAUAUAAAUGUUUUUAUUAUCUAGACUAAAGAUCUAAGAGAUAAAUCAAGUCACGACAGGUAAAACACUUAUAUAUAUAAAUAAAUUAUUUUAUACUACUAUCAAAUGAUAAUCCAAGUAAAACGUAAUAUAACGCGCGUAACUGGUAUUAUAUAGAACAAUAAAAGAACAGAUAUAAGAAAAACGUAUAUAUAAAAAACAACCAAAGAAAUAGUAUACAAACUACACAGAUUAUAACUGACACUGAACAAAGAGAGAUCCCUUUUUUUCAGACAAGAUUCGAUACACUCCUCCUUCGUGUGUUGAGUUCUGUAGACUAUUCGGGCACCACGAGUUACCAACCCGAACGUCAAUAUCGUCGCAUUGUUGGAACCUACCAUUGUGACCAAACCACUCGGAGUCCAAGACGUUGUUUACAACGAGGGAGGCAGGGUUUUAUUCAAUCAUGUUUCAACUCAGUGAAUAAAGCUCUGCCUCCCUCAUAGUUUCAUCUCUCUAGAGGAAUAGUUCCGUUUGUUGGCAACACACUUACCUUGUAGAUAACUGUGUGGAAUAAGCCGUACCAUAGGAACCAACGUAGUAGAUAACGUUAACAACCAAACUUCCAAUUACUACACGACCAAAUUAAUAAACUCAAUUGUUCGUAAAACAAACUUGGUAUUUCGAAUAACCACACGACUAAAGUCAACCGUCUCUACAAAUACAAGGUCCUUAUCAAGUUAAGUCACAUCCUCUGCCUCCGACUUCUGGACGAAGGAGUUAGAGUUAAUAACCUCGACGACCAAACUUCUGAUGUCUGCGACGAAUAUAAGGUACUUAUAAAACUAAGUCCCUUCCUCUUCCCUUGCCCCUACUUGACGACGUAGUUGAUAACGUCAACACCUCCGAGUCUGCGACGUCUGCAAAAACAAGGUACUUAUAAACCUAAGUGACUUCUCUGCCUUCACUUACUGUAGUUGCAAAUUUCCCAUCUAUAAAACACCUAUCUCAAGACCAACACACGCACACACCCACGAAACACGCCUCAGUCAGGUCCGGGGCUCAGCCAAUAUUUGAUAUCACUAGAGUUUGGUAUUUUUCAUGAGGGAGGCAUUUGAUUAUAUUCUCGCAAAUCUAGUGAUAAAAUUAUUAGAUUUACGAGAAUAUAAUCAAAUGUCUCCCUCAUAUAAAAUUGACGUCCACAUUUUCAAAUACUUAAAUAAAUAUAAUCAAAUAUCUACGUAAUCCAUUUGCAAAUGUGGGCCGCGCGGCCGGCUUGAAAGUCGGCCUGCGCACGCCCGGUAGUCUACUUUGGGCUAGUUUGUAGGAUGUACUUACGAAUAGGGGAGCGCUUCGAAGAGGUCCGAAUAGGAUAGCGAGCUGGUCCGGCGUAGGACCCGACGAGAGCAGGUAGGUGAACGAAGAGGGAAUAGAGGAUGGAAAAAGGGAAAAGGAGGAGUGCGAUGUGUAUAGGAGUGGAUGGAGAAGAGUGUCGGUACCAUGGUUCCCUUCUCCACCGACGGCAUCGUUUGGGUACUUUCUAAGAUGCGGGCCGUCAACGACCCUGACAACCAACGGCCGCAAACUUGGGGAGCUCCAAGGCCACGACCCUGGCCGAUUGUAGCCACGACGACGGCCGAAGCACUUCCCGCGACCUGGGCCGUCCUUUACGUAAUAAAACGCGGGUUUGCCGCGCUACGAUGUUGACUACAAAACAAAACGAUGGUGGUAGCCUAAAAAAAACGACCUUUACCGCUAGCAAAAACGACCUCUAAACGUUGAAAGAUAGAACAAAACGGCAUAGUUAAAAACGAUGUUGGCCACUGUCAAAAACGACCUUGGGCCGCUGUCUAAAAAACCCUACGUUAGCCACCACGCGGGCACGUGGCGCCACUGUCCGUCACACUACGAUGUUGGCCACUAAAAGAAACGACCUUGGUCACUAAGUUAAACGACCUUGGACACUAGGUUAAACGACCUUGAUCCUUCUGUGUUAAAAAACGACCUUAGAUACUACGUUAAACGACCUUCGCCACUCAACAAAACGACCUUGGUUGUUACAGUCAACAACGCUGCCCGCUCCAGUUAAAACGACCUUUUGCUCUACGUUGCCGUUGGCUUGACCCUCGCCGUGGUAAUGUCGACGUCACCCCAUAUUAAAAACGACCUUGGGCGUACCAAAAAACGACGAUGGCCGUUUGGUUACCACAAAAUAAAAACAACCCUAAAAAGAACGACCCUUUGUGUCACCGGCUACUGCCGCUGGUCGCCUCCGUCGCUGCUCGCCGAGCCCAGUGGCCGUUCGCAUCCUCUGCUCCCCUCCUUGCGCGGCCGACCAACCCCUGAAAAAAAAGGUCUAGGGCAGGCUUCCCUUCUUGCUCUCCUUUAGCUCUAGACUGCCAACAUCAUCCAGUUUAGCCUGCCAUCACCCUGCUGGCCGGGUUUAAACCCGGCCGCGUGGCCACGUAUCAUGACGGGCUACGUAAUCCAUGUUUUCAUGUCUACCAACCUACUCUGUGGAGCACACACACAGCAGACUUUUCAUAGCCGACAUAUCGUUACGAGUUUUUUCGUCGGUGACAAUUGUUUGUUGCGGAAACAUAAUGAGGGAGGUAAGGUGUUAUAUCACACGAACGCGAAAAACUCUAAGUUUAAACUGGCAUUUAAAUUGGUUGCUCUGGUUGACGCUACCCUC